AGGACGAACGCUGGCGGCGUGCUUAAUACAUGCAAGUCUAAGGGGUUACUUCCCUUCGGGGAAGUGAUCACUGGCGCACGGGUGAGUAACACGUAAGUUAUCUGCCCUUGGGUCUGGCAUAACUCCGGGAAACCGGGCUAAUUCCAGAUGAUACCGAAAGGUCAAAGUUUCGACGCCCAAGGAUGAGCUUGCGUCUGAUUAGCUUGUUGGCGGGUAACGCCACCAAGGCGACGAUCAGUAGCCGGUCUGAGAGGAUGGAUCGGCCAACAUUGGGACUGAGACACGGCCAGACUCCGUACGGGAGGCAAGCGAAGUAAGGAAUAUGCGCAAGUGGAACGAAAGUCUGAACCGCAGACAACGCCGACGUGACGAGGAUCGGAAGGUCCCGUUUGGGUUAGUAAACGUGGUAC
rnacentral:rRNA from 1 species